rnacentral:rRNA from 1 species
UACGUAGGGUGCGAGCGUUGUCCGGAAUCAUUGGGCGUAAAGAGCGCGUAGGCGGUCCGAUAAGUCGGCUGUGAAAGUCAAGGGCUCAACCCUUGGAAGCCGGCCGAUACUGUCGGACUAGAGUCCGGAAGAGGCGAGUGGAAUUCCCGGUGUAGCGGUGAAAUGCGCAGAUAUCGGGAGGAACACCAAUUGCGAAGGCAGCUCGCUGGGACGGUACUGACGCUAAGGCGCGAAAGCGUGGGGAGCGAACAGG